AGUGAACGCUGGCGGUAUGCCUAACACAUGCAAGUCGAACGGCAGCACAGUAAGAGCUUGCUCUUACGGGUGGCGAGUGGCGGACGGGUGAGGAAUACAUCGGAAUCUACUUUUUCGUGGGUGAUAACGUAGGGAAACUGACGCUAAUACCGCAUACGACCUACGGGUUAAAUCAGGAGAUCUUCGGACCUUGCGCGAUUGAAUGAGCCGAUGUCGGAUUAGCUAGUUGGCGGGGUAAAGGCCCACCAAGGCGACGAUCCGUAGCUGGUCUGAGAGGAUGAUCAGCCACACUGGAACUGAGACACGGUCCAGACUCCUACGGGAGGCAGCAGUGGGGAAUAUUGGACAAUGGGCGAAAGCCUGAUGCAGCCAUACCGCGUGGGUGAAGAAGGCCUUCGGGUUGUAAAGCCCUUUUGUUGGGAAAGAAAAGCAGCAGGUUAAUACCUCGCUGUUCUGACGGUACCCAAAGAAUAAGCCCCGGCUAACUUCGUG
rnacentral:rRNA from 1 species